rnacentral:lncRNA from 1 species
CCUGCACACCUGUCCCCGCAACAGGUAGGAGCUCGGGAAGCGCUGGUGACCCAGUGAUGCUACAGCCUCUUAAGGUACCUCGUCUUAGGAAGUCAAAGAAGCUGCUUGGCCGCAAAGUGCUAACUUCUGGAAGGCGGAGACCGCGGCACCUGCCGUGAUGUGGUGCUGUGACUGCGGGGAGAGAAUGGAUUCCGAGGAUGUACAUUUGUGUCGCUGCAACUGAUUCUCUGCAGAAUACCCCCAAGAGAAGACUGUGAUCAGAGUUACCCACUGAGACAUGCAGCACAACCAGGAAAUAACCACAGACAACGCAGAGCUGAAGGGGAAAGAAAAUGUUUUUACUGGAUUUUGAUGAACAUAAGAUGUCCUAGGCUCUGA